rnacentral:tRNA from 1 species
GUCCUCUUAGUUCAUUUGGAUAGAACGCGAGCCUCCUAAGCUUGAGAGACAGGUUCGAAUCCUGUAGGGGACGCCA